UAUAUAUAUAUAUAUAUAUCUUAAUUAAGUCUUACAUAAUUAAUAUACAUAUAUAUACAAAUUAUCCUUUUAAUUUAAAUUCGUGAUUUAAAUAAUAUUAAUCAUAUUAAUAUAUUGAAAUCCUUAAAAUUUAAAUUUAUUCCCUUUUAAAUUACGUUCUAUGUGUGUGACCCUAUAGGUUAUUAUUACGUUGGCAAUAAUUUUAUAAUCAUAUUAUAAAAUUAUAAACAGUGAGCGGCAUCUAGUAAUGCAUCACUGCUACCCAAGUAAUAAUAAGAUCGAUGAUUCGAUGCAACCUUUUCGUGACCAAUGUUUUAAUGUAAUUUAUUCCUUUUAACCUUGACAUCCUAGAUUAAACUCGAGUCAUGGAAUAUGUCAUACUCUUCAUAAUUUAAUAUGUGUUUUCUUGAUCAAUGAGUAGACUAUAUGAAACAAAUCACUAUUUGAGCAUGGCCAUCCAUUUCAUAGUCCUACUCAAUCAAGAGGCCUAUGGAUAUCACCCAUAAUAUAUAGGAUGGUUAAAUUCCAUCUAGAUCACUCAUAUUUCUCACACGAUUAAUGAUGAACCCAAUAAUCACCUUUAUAGUCCACCCUAUUAAAGGUGACAUUUGAUGAUAUCAAAGUACAUAAAUUCUCGUGUAGUAAUAUAGCGAUUUCAGGUCGGAGGACCAUUACAUCAUUGUCACUAUGAGAAUUGCUAAUGACACUUCGCAUGAUGCUCCACAUAGAAUUCUCAUGGUGGGUCUGUCCAGUACAUCGUUCUCUAACACAUACCUAUGCAUUGACUUAAUAUCUCAUAUAUUUAUGACCAAUGAGAUUUGGUCAUCAGUCAAUCCACAUACUAGUCUCAAUGCAUCAUUGUUGUCCUAUCAACAAUGGUACUCGACUAGGGACAUUGAAGAGCAAUGAUACUAAUUGUAAUUAUAUAAUCUCAUGUUCAAGUCACAUACUUGAAACUAUAUAAAUUGUAUCACUAUUCUAAGGAAUUUAUUAUGUUAACAUUUAUAUAACGCAGUAAUUAAAACCAUAAUAAAAUCAUUCAUUUAUUUAAUCAAAUAUAAUAUCAAAUGUUAAGCAAGUAUAUCAUAUAAUUGGCCUCUAAAGCAUAAACUCUAACAAGCAUCUAUCUAGAAUAGUCGUUCAUCGGAUUCCUUUCGAAAUUUGAUUUCCAACUCUAACUUUGUCAUUGCUGAAAUAAGCUCCUCCUGAGUAGUUAUCAGCAUCAACUUCUCCUGACCUUUUCUGCUCAAAGCAUCUGCAACCACAUUCGUUUUGCCCGGGUUAUAAAAGAUCUCACAAUCGUAAUCCUUUAUCAAUUCCAUCCAUCUUCUUUGACGCAUAUUCAGGUCAUUCUAUGUGAAAUAUACUUCAGACUUUUAUGGUCUGUGUAGAUUUCACAUUUCUCUCCAUAGAGAUAGUGUCUCCAUAUCUUGAGAGCAAAUACUACUCCAGCUAAUUCCAAAUCAUGAGUCGAAUAACCUUUCUCAUAAUCCUUCAGUUGCCUUGAUGUAUACGCAAUAACUUUGCCAUUUUGCAUAAGAACACAACUCAAUCCUUUAUUUGAGGCAUCACUAUACACCACAAAGUUAACUAUACUAUCUGGUAAUGACAACACAGGUGCCAUGCUUAAUUUCUUCUUCAAAUCCUGGAAACUUUCUUCACAUUUCUCCGUCCAAACAAAUUUCACAGCUUUCCUUGUCAAAUUUAUUAAUGGAGUGGCUAUCUUAGAAAAAUCUUGAAUAAAUCGUCUGUAAUAACCAGCCAGUCCCGAGAAACUCCUUACUUCCGACGGUGUUCUUGGUUGUUCCCAACUGAUUACAGCUUCCACUUUUGAUGGAUCCACUGAAAUCUCAUCUUUGUCAAUCACUUGCCCAAGAAAUUGCACACGAUUUAGACAAAAUUCUCACUUAUAGAAUUUCGCGUACAAUUAUUCCUUUCUUAGUGUUUCCAAUGUCAAACGUAAGUGUUCCACGUGUUCUUCUUGAGUUUUGGAAUACACCAGAAUGUCAUCGAUGAAUACCACUACAAACUUGUCUAAGAAUGGUUUAAACACCUUACUCAUUAAAUCCAUGAAUGCAAUAGGUGCAUUAGUUAAACCAAAAGACAUCACCAGAAACUCUUAAUGUCCAUACCGAGUUCUGAAUGUCAUUCGAGGUAUAUCCUCCUUCCUCACCUUCAACUGGUGAUACCCACUUCUCAAAUCUAUUUUCGAGAAGUAUUUAGCACCCUUCAACUGAUCAAACAAGUCAUCUAUUCUUAGCAAUGGAUAUUUGUUUUCAAUAGUGACUUUAUUUAAUUCUCUAUAAUCAAUGCAAAGACGCAUUGACCCAUCAUUCUUCUUCACGAAUUACACUGGCGCUCUCCACGGUGACACGCUUGGUUGAAUAUAUUUCUUGUCUAGCAAUGUUUACAACUGUAUCAUCAGUUCCUUCAUUUCUACUAGAGCCAUUCUGUACGGGGCCUUCGAUAUCGGUGCUGUUCCCGGCACUAAAUCGAUCACGAACUCAAUUUCUCUGUCAGGCGGAAGUCCUGGCAAAUCCUCUGGAAACACAUCCUCAAAUUCCCUCACCACUGGUAUCUAUUCCAGUUUCACAUUCUUCUUUUGAGUAUCGACUAUGUAAGCUAAAUAGCCCACGCAGCCUUGACUCAACAAUUUCUUGGCCUGCAUAAUCGUCAGACAUUUCAUCUGUCUAGGCGACUUGCUACCGAAGUACACUACCUUUGACGGGGUCAUAACGUUUACACAUUUCUUUUGGCAAUCAAUUAUCGCUCCAUAUUUGAACAGCCAAUCCAUUCCCAAAAUAACAUCAAACUAUCCAAGUCUAAUCGGAAUCAAAUCUACCAUCAAGAUAUUCUCCUUAAUGUUCACCUUACAGUUCUUGUAUACGAACCUAACAGGGAUUACCUCCUUAUUCAUAAUUUCUAUGUUCAAAGGGAAAUUCAGUUCUUCUCUAGGCAAUUCUAACCUCUUAGCAAAUUCAUCAGAGAUAAACGAGCAAGUAGCACCCGAAUCAAAUAAUGCAUAAGCAUCAAUAUCAUUGAUUGGGAUAAUACCUGACACGACAUCUUUUGAUUGCACAACAUCUUGCACAGUCAUGUUGAAGGUUCUAGCUGUGGGUUUGUUUGAUGAUGUACCUCCACUGUUACCUCUGUUGUGUCUGGUUGUCUCUCUAGCCUUCUUCUUAGGGCAUUCACGAGCAAAGUGAUCCUUGGAUCCGCACGUGAAGCACACGUUCUUCUUAGGUUGAGUGCAAUUUUGGGCGAUGUGACCCUCCUGGCCAUAAUUAAAGCAUAUUCGUUUGUGACGCCCCCAAAUCCAGGUUCUCUAACCUCAGAUUCAGUGCUCACGAUCCUAUUAUCAUCAUAAGCAUUCUAUAACUAUUUUGAAAUAAUAAACAUACAUUGUUAAUUAUAAUAAGGUCUCAUAAUAUAGUCCCAAGGUCUCCAUAACCUUAACUUUAAAUACACCAUUUAUAAUACAAAUAGUUUACUUAAGAAAUUCCAUUAGAUAAUAACUAAUUUAACAUUCAUUCUAAAAUUACUCCUGGAUCUUGCCCUUGCCCUUGUCCUUCGCAUUAGAUCCUUCGGGCUUAACUGAAAAUAGAGGUCAUGAUAUAGCAAGAGUAAGCAACUAAUUUGCUUCACAAGUUUAUAAAGACAAAGGAGAUAUAUCAUGACUUAGAAAGAAAUAUUGCCUUCAAUGUUCAACAAUAAUAUAAGAUUGUGAAGGAACAUGAAUUAAUAAUCAACAAUUGAAUAUUCGAUAAUUGAAUAACAUGAACUGAGUGGUUUUGAAUAACCAUGAACAUUUGCCAAGGUGCUCAGUGAUUUAAACUGGACCUUUUAAUAAGUUUUGGUAUUCAAGGGGAUCAGCCUUUCAUACCCCGUGAUUUAUGCAUAAACACUUAAUAAUCCGACAUUGAUAUCAUGCCUUAAUCAAAUUUGUUCAUUUCUCAGUCAAGAGUUCUUACCAUAUCAAUUAAUAAGAACAGUUAUUUAAAAUCCAUUUGAUUUAACAAAUUUAGACAUGCUUGAUCUAGCUGAUACAAUUAGCAUAGAUCUAUCCCAUAAACAGUUCAUAAAUGAAGAACUUUAAUUUAAUUCACAGUUCAAUGGCAGUAGAACGGAAUUCAAUUGCACAAAGUGCGAAUUUCAAUAAUCAAUAAAGACGUGAAUAAUCAUCAAUAAUUAUUCACUAAUAUGCUUUGAAAAUAAUAACUCAAGUUGAGUUAGGAAACUUGCCUCGAUCGUAGGUUACAGCUACGAAAUAAAUUUCUAUCCACUAUGUAGUUAAAUUAUCUUCCUUUGAGAGACCUAUAAUUAGUCUUUCAAUUAGUCAAUGCAUAACAUCAGAUUAUGUAAUCACAUAGAUAUCAUACAUUACAAUAAGUUCUUAUAAACAUUAUCAUGCCUAGAUAGUGUUAUUAUUAAUUAACGACUACCUUUAAUUCACAUAAUAUUAUUAACUUAGAUAAUAUUAAUUCACCUUCUAGUAUUAUUGGUUCACUAAUAAUACUUUAAAUCAUUUACCAACAUUUUAUUCACUUACUAAUAUUAUUAAUCAUUUAAUAAUAUUUUAUCCCUUUACUAAUAUUAUUAAUCAUUUAAUAAUAUUUUAUUCACUUACUAAUAUUAUUAAUCAUUUAAUAAUAUUUUAUUUAAUCUCGAAUAUUAUUAUUUAAUAAUAAUACUCUAAUCUAAUAUUUUUAUUUACAUAACAACAUCAUAUUAUAAUAUUAUUAGUAUUAUAAUAAUAUUCCAAUGAUUUAUUAAAUUAAUAAACAAUUUAUUCUAAUUGUUCAUCCUUUAAUAACCUCUUAUUUAAUAUCCAUAAAAGGUCAUAAGUAAUAUUUAUUAUUAUAAAUUACCAAAAUGCCCUAAGAUAGUCAUGAUAUAAUAUAUUAUGAGCAUUCAAGCAUAAAAAUCAUAUUUUUCUCAUUAAAGGCAUCAUUUAACUAUUUAUUUCCUUUUAUUCAUAACCUAAUCAUUUUUAGGAAAAAUAGCAAACUGAUUCCAAAAAUUCUCAGCUUCUGGAUUUUAACAGAAUAUGAACCAACAAUGAUCCUCUAAUUUUUCUAGAAUUUUAGAAAAUGAUUUACUAUUUUUAGAGUGUCCAAAACACUCGGAUCUUGCUCUAUUUUUCAUAAAUUGAGUUUUACUCAGAAAAAUCUGAAAUUUUCAGGGUAUGCUCUCUUAACAUAUAUGAAGCUACUGUAAAAAUUUUGGAAUUUUCCAGUGUAUACACAGUGAGAUAUUCGUAGGAUAAUAUUUAUGGAGUCCUUUACGGAAAUAGUCAUUACGCACAAUAUAUAACUCGAAACGUGUCCGUUCUUUUUCCUACGCGUAGAUAACUUCAUAAGGUACCUCUGUAAUAUUUUUCCAGAUUUUUACAAGACAAGGAACUGACCGAAACAGCCUCAUGAAAAACAAGUCAGUAGCUGAUUUAGAGUUUCAAAGCUUUAGCAUAUAAAGUGGACUGUUUUGGGAAAAAUAAUCUUAAAGGUUUCAAAACUUACUAGAUUUGUGAUCUACCACUUGGGUUUACUAGAUAACUCAUGUAUCUAGCACCCCCCUUCGACGGAUCAUAAUUCCAAGUUGUAGAACUUGAGUUACACAAGAUUUAGUGGAAGAAAAACAAGAGUUUUCACCCUUGGAGAACAUAUGCUCAUUUUCUUCCUCUAAGCCUUAGAUCCAACACUCAAGAUACUUAGUUCCAUGCAUGAUGGUAUGUAUAACUAGUGUAUCUUGAGUAGUUGUACAUAACCCCAUCAAAACUCAAGCUAUCAAAACAAGGUAAGAGAAGAAGAUGAAGGUACAUUAUACCUUGACUUAGUGGCUACCUUCCUUGAUUUUCCAAAGUAACUAAUAAACUUAGGGGGCAUAAACAACUAGCACUCCUAUAUUUUUUUCUUUCUAUGGAUGAAAUUCUCUCUUUCUUUUCUCUCUUUGAAGUUGGCUAGCUUGGGAGCAAGAGAUAGAAGAAGAAGAUGAAGAAGAUGGAGAGAAAAUGAAAUGUUGGAAUACGAAUGAAGUGUUGGAAGAAUGAGAUGUGCAUUCAAAAUGUAAUGGGCAAUUCAUUAUUAAUUCUCCCACAAUCAUUUUGUUGCCCAUUAGGUAAAACACUUUGUAUUAUUACUUACCUUAGGUUAAACAUGAUUAAAUGUGCAUAAUGGAGUGGCAACCAAUGGGAGCCUUACAACAUUGUCCUUAUGUUUAUUCAUGUCUACUAAUGGACAAGCUAGAUUAAUUAUUCCACUUAGGAUCCUCAUAAUAUCCACCAUUUAGCUUUUAUUUUAAAUGCCCAAUUUUGAUUAAUCAAAUGUCUAGAAUACCCCCAAUCAAGUGGGCUAAGUAUUGGAUUACAUUUUAUUUUCCUUGGGCUUUUCUUUUAAUUGAUUUGGGCUAGAUAAAAACAUAGUCCAACAAUUUUAAUAAUGUUACCCAAUUUGAUAAUUUAGGGCUUUCAUCUCCAAUCAUAUGAAGUUUAAUUACUUAUACAUAUGAUUUUAUCUCAUAACCUAAUUAGAUUUACAAGAAUUAGGUUUAAAAUUAUUAGUCACUUGAAAUACUAAGUUUACCCACUUAAGUUAGUAUACAUAUAAAAUACUAACUUUUUCGUGUUACCAUAACCCUUAGGUUAUUUAAUAUCCUUACCUAAUGUAUAAUUAGGUCACAAGGCUUUCAUUUUUAAUGAAAUCCAUAAAUGUAUGUAUCCAUAUAUAACACAAAGUUUAAAAAAAAUGUACAUACAUACAUGGUGACUUAAAAUUCACGGUUAUUACAUCGUUUCCCCAUCAAGCACGCACCGUUGUGAAACUUCCCGCAUGUAACACAUGCUUCAAACUUCUUGUUUUGCUGGUUACCCUACUGGUUUCCAGCACCCACAUUUCUAUUCUUCUUCUUCUUCUUCUUCUUCUUCUUCUUCUUCUUCUUCUGUUCCUGAUUGAACUUUGUCACUGCCUCGGCCCCACCUUCAGCGAGUAUUGAUUUAUCCAUCAUGCUGUGAAAGUCUUCAAUUAGAACAGGGAAACCCUACUAUACAACCAGGGCUUCAGUCCCUGUUCAAACCUCUUCGCCUUGCGUUCGUCCGUACUGACUUGAUAAGGCGCAAACCUUGCCAACUCGUUGAAUUUAGCGACAUACUCGGAUACCAUCAUCGUUCCCUGCUUCAGUUCCAGAAACUGCACUUCCAGCUGACCCUUCGAACACUCGGGAAAAUAGGUCUCGAAGAAUAUCUUCUUAAACCUAUCCCAGGUCAUCAAUUCCAUGAAAUUUGGUGUUUAUUGUACAAAUAUCAUCUAUCUAUCUACCCAUAAUAAAUGCAAGUCAUGCAAUAGAUAGAAUAAAAUCUUCCCCUUAAGGGUUACAACAUCCGAAUAAUAAUAAUACAAUCCCAGAUUAAACUAACCUUAAAUAUCUGUGCGGAAUCAUAAACAAAUAAGUCUUAACAACAUCAUUAAACACUACUACAAAAUAGUAAAUAGACAACACUUAAUAGACAACGUUUUUUAUAAAAACGUUGUGAUAUACUUUUUUACAACGUUUUUAAAAAAAAUUUGUAAAUAUAUAUGCAAAAACGUUAUCUAUUUAAAAGAGCAUAUUUUUAGUUUUAACUGGAUAACGUUUUUUUUUUAAAAACGUUGUCUAUCUACAAAGACACGGAGAAGAAAAAAAACAAGACACGAAACAAAAAAAAAAGACACGGAGCAAAAAAUCCACUUCUCAAAAUCGGCUACCACGUAUUCUUUCUUAUAAAUCCCUAAACCUCCAUUCCAUUCAGUAGAUUCAGAUCUUCUUCAUCAAAAAUCCACUUCUCGCAAGCCGCCGCCUCACCUUCCGGUGAGGAAACCCGGCCUUCCGGCUUUCAGAGUUCGAUUGAAGAGGGACGAAGCAAAAAAAAUGCUUAACUGAAUAAAACGCCGGCACUCUCUUUUGUAGCCCAAAACCCUAGCCUCUAUUUUCUCUUACUCCCAAAUCCAUCCCGAUCUCGUCUCUAUUUCUCACCACGCCAACGGCAGGUUGGUUAUGGGUCAUGCUUUGAGGAUAGCAUCUGAUUCCUGUCUCAUCUCUGGAAUCUGUUUCUCUGUUUCUGUCUCUCCUUUUUAUUUUUGUUGGUAGUACCGCCUAUUAUUCUUAUUCUUUGCUUACUUCCCCUCAUAGUUAGCAGUGUUAAAUUAGGUAUAUGGGUUGUCUCUGAUAAAUUAUGUUUAUUUUAUGCACAGGACUCUUCAGGGACGACGUUGAUGGAUCUGAUAACUUCAGUCCCGAUGCCGAUACCAUCAUCUGCUCCUCCACCUCCUUCUCCCUCUUCAGCGUCACCCGCAGCAUUGCCGCCUCCGAGUAGCGGAAUCGAAAAGUUGGUGACAACGGAUCGAAAAUCAAAGAGGGGGACUUUGUUGCAGAUCCAGAGUGACACAAUUUCUGCUGCUAAAGCUGCUUUGAAUCCAGUUAGAAUCAACAUAUUGCCCCAGAAACAGAAGCAGAAGAAAAAGGUUUGAUUAAUUAUUAUUUACACCAAAAUGGGACCGACUGUUUUAUUAUUAUUUGUAUUUCAUAAGUUCAAUACAUCGUUACCACAGUUCCAAACAAAUUUAGAGAUACAUUUCUAAUUUUAGAUUACGAAGUGAAAUGAAAUCCCAACAUGCUAUUAUUUACAUUUUAGGUAGAUUGAGUACCUAUUACAUAUGUUGCAAAUGUUAAAACAAAGUGGAUGACCCUUGUUUACCUUUGUUGGUUAAUAUUUAUUGUGGGAAAUAAAAGGAGUUGUGAAUUGUAUGAACCUCUUCUGAAAUAGUUGUUACUAUAAUUUCUUGGUUCUCAUUCUCCAUUCAUCACAAUAUUCUUCUUAUCUAAGUGGCCAAGCUUGUAGAGAACUAUGGUCGAGUUUGUUUCACAUUCCAUAAAAGUUGACAAACUCAGAUUAUCUAACCAACAUUGACAUAUCCAUUGUUUUGCUUCAAUAAGAUAGCUUCUGCAUAGAGGAACUAAUCUAGAAUUUCACUAACUUCUUCUCAGUCAUGGACCUGCACUGUGGGGAUUGUCAAAUUGUACUAAUACUGUGAUAAUUUGUCAAACACAUUACUUGUGAUUUAUUUUCAUUGGAUUUGGCAUAUUUAUCAUUACUUUUGAAACUGGAUUGCAGCUGGUGGGCGUUUUGACAAACUAAUAGGAAUGUUUGGUAUGAAGCAGGUUCCUGCUGUUGGUGUCAGUUUAGGAAUAGAACGAGUGUUUACAAUAAUGGAACAGCUUCAGAGCGAUCAGAACCAGGUAUGGUAGAAUGCACUAUGCCAUUAUUUUUCUUCUUGUACUAUUAUUCCACCUCUAUGAUAUAUUGAUAUUCUAUCUUCUUGUACUAUUAGUUUGGAUUAAAUUGCUUGGGUUUGAUACUGGUGUGUUGUUUUGUUUUAUCAUUGCGAGUUGAAUGUAUUGCAUAGGUUGGUAAGUAUACAUAUAGAUAUAUACUGGAUCAAGAAAGAGAAUUUUAGAUAUAGGUUCAUUUCACCUAUGUCAUUGACUUGUGGACAGUUUGUUUUCUUGUACAAAUAUUUAAACAAUACUUUUACAAAUAGGUCUCUUUCUCAAGAGUACGACUAAGCAAUUCUAUGGCAGCUUUCAGCUCCCAUGCUUUACUGUUUAGUCGCAAGGGUGUGUUUUCCCUUUAAUUGUGAUUUUGAUUUUAAGUUGUUGCGCCCCUGAAUUUGCACAAGCUUGUGAGGGAGGUCUGUGUGGCUAUAUCAAGUUCAAAUAGGGGGAGUUUUUUGGAACUCGUGCUUUUGGGGUUGGAUCAUAACUAUAGUUUUCUCUUCUCUUUCAUUUAUGUUAUCAGGUCCUAUAUUGUGGGAUCAGAAAACUCUGUGAUGGGACUUGUUCAGGAUGUUUGCUUGUUUUAGUAUUGACUUGUGAUGGGUCUAAAUUGUUGUCUGGGAAUGGAGCAGAUUGGAAAUUUCAUGCUUGCAGUUUCAACUGCUGCGCGACACCUAAUUGAUAGCUUCUUUUACCACAUAUAUAUAUAUAGUCUUUCUGAAUGUUUUGUUGGUAACCCAAUGAUAUAUAUAGCUCCCAGAGUUGCUUAUCUUCAUUUUCGUCAAUCGUGUGAAAGUCCACCAGUAGAUUGACAAUCCUCCAGUGUUAAUGGAUUUUGCGAUUUCAACAUAACUAUCCUGUGUUGUGGUGAUAUUAUAACUGUGUGUGUGUUUUCCAUGGUUGCUUUUAUUUUAUUUUUUCCCAGCUGUUACUUUCUGUUUGAUGAACGGGUAUUUUAUCAAUAUAUAUAUAUCUAUAUCUAUAUCAAUAUCAAAAUCAUAAGCCGAUCUGCCAACUUAGUUGAAUGGGUUAUUUUAUUUUAUUUUUAAUUUCACUCAGAAAAUAAAUCAAUUUGGCUUUGACCAUAAAUAAAUUCAGUUACAUUAGUCAUCAUUUUUGUUUGAAUUUGGAUUACUAUCUAUUUACUGUUUUGUAGUAGUUUUUAUAUAUAGAUGGCUAGACUUUCUGUUGUUGGUCGAAAUUAUUAUCGUGUUUUUCCGUUGAGAGGUAAAAAGUUGUUGGUCGAAAUUAUUAUGGUGUUUUGUAGUAGUGUUUAUUUUCAUUUUAUUUUUUUCUCAUCUUGCUGCUCUAAUUUAUUGGUUCUGAGAUUAAUCUUAUGUGCAGGGGGUGAAGUAUAUGCCUCUUAGGAGAGUUCAAUAUAGCUUAUUGCAUUAAGAAAAGUCAUUAGUCUGAAAUCUUAUUGUGGAUGCAAGUAUUUUCUGACAAUUUUAUUCUUUUUUUGCAGGAGAAUAUUUGGAUUUUCCUUGUUUUGCUGUACGGAGUAGGGUACCUUAAUGAUUCUGAAUCCUUGUUUUGCUGUACGGAGUAGGGUACCUUAAUGAUUCUGAAAAAUGGGGAAAUUGCAAAAAUUGCAUAUAUAUCAGCUAAGGGAGAUUUCAAAUCAUAUAUUUUGUGCCCGUUGAGAAAUGGGAACUCAUAAUGGCACAAACAGUUCUUGAGGCCCUCUUUAUGUCAACGGACAUGUUUUAGACAUGGACAGCAUUUUCCAAUCCUUAGAUGGAUACUGGCCAGAGUCCUGGUUAUUGCUAGGGUAAGCAACUUUCGUUACCAACCCAAGAGCAGAAGCAGGUGCAUGCAGCAACCAAGGAAGCAGCAGUCGAUGGGUUCAGCUGCUGUACCUACUCUAAUGGAGCUGACUUUGUGGUGGAGUCUACUGGAGUAAGGCUGCUGCUCACUUGAAGGUUUGUAGCAUUAUGUUAUUUUCAGUUUUUUGAAAGUUCAAUUGAGUCAUGUCAUGUUCCAGAAUAUGUACGUGUGCACUCAUCUAAGAUAAUGAAUUUAUAUCAUUGCAGUAUGGUGACAGCUUUUGGUUCUGGAGCCAUGUUUUCAUUGGUGAGUGGAUUUGGUGGUCCUAAUCAGGCUGCGAAUGUAGUCACAUCUGGCCUGCUACUAUGCUUAUAAGUUCAUAUAAUGUGACACAAUCACCAUUCUUUGAGCACUCGUUUGUAUUGGAUGUAAUCAAAUUCACAAUUCAUUAUAGUAUUAUAUUGGGAUGUAUUUUGAAUGGNNN
rnacentral:lncRNA from 1 species